rnacentral:misc_RNA from 1 species
UUUGGAUAAAAUCAUAAAAUGCCUAGCAUUCAUAGGAAAAUUUGGGCUACUGCAACUAACCCGCUUACAUUUGUCUUCUGCUAAGCGGCAAGAAAGCUGAACCCACAAAGAAAACACAAACACUACCUGAGUUCAUACAGCGCCUAUUCUUUGUUCUAUGACUAGAAAAAGGGCAGAAAUGAAAUAUAUUAGAACAGAGAGAGAGAGCGAGAGAGAGAGUGUUACCAGUUUCUGCCUCCUACCCAUGACAAAUCAUUUAUUAGUUUAGCAUCUCUCGUUCUCUCUCCCAAAAACCCUGAAAUUUCUAUACCCAUUGAAUGAAAUUGUUUCUUUGUCCAAGGAAUUUUGAAAUUUGAAGAGCAACAUACAGCCAUUGAAAAUCCUAUUAACCUUUAUGUUUCCUUGUUUUUAAUGCAGACGUCAUAUCGUUUUCUCUCUCGCCUUUACCAUUGCCGCCCCCAUAAGCACACUUCCUCCGUUUCUUCUUCCAUUUUAUGGAACAAGGACUUGAUCUUCUUAUUAACCCAACACAAUUCAAACAAUGAAAAUCCCAACACUAACACUGGUUUAGAAGGCAAUUUUGCCAAGCAAGUUUUUAGUUUUAGUUCCUUUACUCAGUCUCGUUGUUUUUUCACUUCUAACUCUUCUAACAAAUUCUUAUUCUUGGGUUUGGUUUCUUUUGAUAAUCAGAGUUAUCAUCACUACUCAACUCGUCGUAAUUUUUUCACGAGGGCUAAACAAGUAAAGAAGAUCGAAAUCAAUGAUCAACAUAGGUUAUGUAUUUUAUUUUAUUUUUCAUUACUUUUCUGCACUUGUUGUUUCUGGGUAAUUUGGGGGAAAAUUGGGUUCUUACAUUUCAAGUCAUGUACAUAUUGUAUGAUAAUAUUUUCUGAAAUUAAAAUGGAUUAAUUGUUGAAAUUCAGGAAUAUAUCAGUCUUGGUUGAAACUAAAUGUCUCUGUUGGAAGAGCAUCCUUGUAGAAUGGCAAGUCAUGUGAUUGAUUGUGUUAUAAAUAUGAAAGCGAGAAUGGAACACUAUCUCUAGAAAAAUAAUGAGAAAUGAUGCAUUUGUAUUUAAUUUAGUUUCUCAAUGGUGGAUGAGGUCUUGGUUACGCAGUUAAAAAAUCAAAUGCUUUAAAGUCUUUUUUUUAGAGAGUGAUCAGGUAUUAAUCAAAUAAUUGGAGCAUAAUGCAGUGCAAAUAUUUGGUAGAGACCAUGUAGGUAGUUAACACCUUCAACUUUUUUGGUUAAGAGAGUUUUGUCUCAGUGAUUGAAUAGGUAGGCUUAUGCUGGACUACCAAUGACGUAGGGAUAGGAUAGCUUGUUGCUUGGCAUUUUCGAUGUUGUCAUCAACAAUCCAUUAGGUGUAACUGUACUUGCAAUUUUGAUUUGUCAAUAUGUUGAAAGAAACCUUAAAAGGCCAUUCUAACAUUUGCGAGGCAUAAGUUUACAUCUCAGCAUGCACAUGCUUAUGGUCUAUAUUAAAUUGAGCAUUGUAUAAUUAUAUUUCACUUUUUGCACUGAGCCUUAUAUUGGAAAUUGUUUCCCUAUAAUGCCUACCUCAACUAUACUUUUUUUUCACUUGAUCAAUCUUUGAAUACUUUGGCAGUCAAAGAGCAGUCAAAACUGCAUUG